rnacentral:rRNA from 1 species
CAGCAGCCGCGGGAAUACAGAGGGUGCAAGCGUUAUCCGGAAUGAUUGGGCAUAAAGCGUCUGUAGGUGGCUUUUCAAGUCCGCCGUCAAAUCCCAGGGCUCAACCCUGGACAGGCGGUGGAAACUACCAAGCUGGAGUACGGUAGGGGCAGAGGGAAUUUCCGGUGGAGCGGUGAAAUGCGUAGAUAUGCGGAGGAACACCGAUGGCGAAGGCAAUCCCCUGGACCUGUACUGACGCUCAUGCACGAAAGCGUGGGGAGCAAACAGGAUUAGAUACCCGCGUAGUCCCUGUCUCUUAUAC